AUUGAACGCUGGCGGCAUGCCUUACACAUGCAAGUCGAACGGUAACAGGUCUUCGGAUGCUGACGAGUGGCGAACGGGUGAGUAAUAUAUCGGAACGUGCCUAGUAGUGGGGGAUAACUACUCGAAAGAGUGGCUAAUACCGCAUGAGAUCUACGGAUGAAAGCAGGGGAUCGCAAGACCUUGUGCUACUAGAGCGGCCGAUGGCAGAUUAGGUAGUUGGUGGGAUAAAAGCUUACCAAGCCGACGAUCUGUAGCUGGUCUGAGAGGACGAUCAGCCACACUGGGACUGAGACACGGCCCAGACUCCUACGGGAGGCAGCAGUGGGGAAUUUUGGACAAUGGGCGAAAGCCUGAUCCAGCAAUGCCGCGUGCAGGAUGAAGGCCUUCGGGUUGUAAACUACUUUUGUACGGAACGAAAAGCCCCGGGUUAAUACCCUGGGGUCAUGACGGUACCGUAAGAAUAAGCACCGGCUAACUACGUGCCAGCCGCCGCAGUAA
rnacentral:rRNA from 1 species